ACGCCGGAGGUCUCUGGUUUGAAAACUGCUGGACCUGAGGGGGAGAUAACAGCAGGUUGUUAUUAUAGUAUACGUCUACCCAAUUGCUGUUUAAAGAAAUUUCAUUUUUGCAUUUUUUCUCCCGAUCUACUGUCCUUACGUUGCAUGAUUUUAUUUCUGCAAAACUUUUCUCUUAGUCCAAGUGCAUGAUUUCUCCAUGUUGUUUUCUUCUUCAUGAUUUAAACUUUGAUAAAACUAACUUCCAAGGUAGAUAACAAAUUAUUACUCUUUUCAUCUAGGGUACUUAAUGAAGAAAAGUGCAAAAACAAAUGGAUGGAGUAGGCGGUGGUUUGUUCUGAAUGAGAAAACUGGAAAGGUUAGCAUUUUAAAACGUAUAUCCUUUACGUGUUGGUCAAAAUAUGCAAAAAGAGAAAGCACUGUGAUUACUUACUGGCUUUACCAUUUACCUUUUCUAGCUUGGCUAUACCAAAAAACAAGAAGAAAGAAACUUCCGGGGCACUAUAACUUUGGAGGUAUCAUUCUCUUCCUAUGCUUUAUUUUCUGCCUGAGGUGAACUAUAAUUAGAAAAGACUUAAAAAAAAAUAGAGAAGAAUAAUAGUUCAACUACACCUUGUUGUUUUCUCACACUGGUUCCUUCUUGUAAAGUAACACAGACUUGUGUAUUGUAAAACGUAUGCUUCAAUAUAUAACAAAACCGCUAUUAUCGAUGAGAAAAUCUGGAUGCUCUAUAAAUAAUAUUUUUCCAUGUAUUUCUAAUUGUACUUGCUCAUAAACUUUGAUAAUCCACUCAGGAAUGCACUAUUGAAGAAAUUCCCGAGGACGAAGUAGAAAAGUCAAAGAGCUCGAAGGAUAAGAAGGCAAAUGGACCUGAUUCAAAAGGACCAGGCCUUGUAUUCAAAAUAACCUGCAAGGUUCCUUACAAGACUGUACUGAAAGGUACAUAAAUCAUAUCAUUAUCAGAAUCAAACUUCUUAGUCUUCUAUGCGCACUUUUAUGAGCUUUUCCUCAAACUAUUAUGUUGCAGCUCACAAUGCUCUUGUGCUUAAGGCUGAGAGUGUAGUUGAUAAAAACGAGUGGAUUAAUAAGUUGCAAAAGGUUAUCCAGGCUCGUGGAGGCCAAGUGGGCAGUGUGUCCAUGAGACAGAGUCUUUCAGAGGGUUCACUUGUGAGUCACUCUCCCUUAAAUAACUGCUACAUACGUUCACUAGUCUGUCGCAAUACCAAUAUCACUAUGAAGAAAGUUAGAAGCUUUACUCGGGAAGAGUUGAAACUGUUGGAAGAGCAAAAGAAAGUUAUUUAGGUUUUAAUGAACAUAUGGCAAUAUUUUUUUAGUAUGAAACAAUUUUGCUGUAAAAGGGUCAGUAUAUGGGUAGGCAUGAUGAUACUUUUUCUCUUAAACUUGACAGAAGUUAUGUUUGGCAUUUAAUGUAUUUAGUGGUUACUUUCUGAUACUUACGUUUUUUGUUGUCUUGUCUGUUUCUCAGGAUAAGAUGGUUAGGAAACCCAUCGAUCCAGAAGAGGAACUCCGGUGGAUGUCCCAAGAAGUACGGGGUUAUGUUGAAGCUGUUCUUAACAGCCUAGCAGCCAAUGUUCCAAAGGUGAACUAUUUUUAUUCUAAAGCUCCAAAAUUUCUUGUCCAUCUCUUUUAUUCUACAGAGAUUCCUCGGUCAUGCUACUAAGCAAUGUAAAUUCACCAUGAACAGGCUGUUGUUCUUUGUCAAGUGGAGAAAUCAAAGGAAGACAUGCUGAAUCAACUAUACAGUUCUAUAAGGUUUAAUAUCUUUUCCUUCCCUGUGCCUAAUUUCAGUUCAGUUAUGGUGUGCUUAUUUGUGCUCUCCUUUAUUGGAUCUCUAGUGCAAUAGGCAAUGAAAGAAUUGAGUCAUUGAUUCAAGAGGAUCAAAAUGUCAAAAGACGAAGAGAGCGUUACGUGAAACAAUCCUCUCUUCUUUCUAAGCUCACAAGGCAGCUUAGCAUUCACGACAACCGAGCAGCUGCUGCUUCAAGUUAUUCCGACAAUGGUAGCACUGGUAAAUUCAUCUGCAUAUAACAGUUCUUCAUAGGGAUUCCUGUUUAUGGGUUUGGGAACAUUUAGGUUUUUGGGUUUAUGAAAUAGAGAAAUGAAUGGAAAGCGAAUACUGUUUGGUUUUGUUUGGUAGGGUUACGGAUUCACCGAUUCAGUUUCUUAGAAAAUAUGUAAAAGAUCUUCAAUGAAACUUGGGUUUAAAUAUAUUGGUAUCACUUGACCCACAGAAAGUAGCCCAAGAACAAGUGGUGGUUCUUCAGGGGACGACUGGAUGAAUGCCUUCAACUCCGCUGCUAAUGGACCCUCAGACUCUUUGUCAAGGUACGGUUCUGGUGGUCACAGCCGUCGCUACAGUGACCCUGCUCAGAAUGGAGAUGCAGCAUCACCAGGCUCUGGUAGCAACCGACGCACCACCCCCAAUCGGUUGCCACCAGCACCACCGCCAACGGGUUCAGCUUACAGGUAUUAGAACCUGAAGAGAAAGAAAAAAACACCGGAAGCGCGCAGUGUCCCGUUUUCUGGGACUAAGUUACCCAUAUUUUUCUUAGUUUAAGACCAGUGAUUGGAUGAAUGUACUACUGUUUUGUCUUCUUUGUAGAUAGAUAUUCAUAUUAUCACACACAUAUAUGUGUUGGCAGCUAAAAAGAGUUUGGUCUCUCAUGAGUCAAAUGUCUGUUUGAAUUUUUGUUUUCUUCUUAUCAACUUUUGUUGGCAUCCAUUUUUCUGAGCAACUUAUGCUGUAGUAGUUAUAGAAUGAAGUUUGUAUGAUGACAAGAAAAAAGAAAAAAAAGAAUGAAGUUUGUAUUUGAGAUUCUUCUGAAUCUUGAACCGUUUGGGUAAACAACUAAAUUUAAAUCAUCAAAGUACUUCCACGGUUUAAUUUGUGACUUAAUAGAAUUUUCCAGGGCUAGGCUUCAAAAUCACAAAUUUUGGGGGUUUAUUGGUAAAAUAAUCAAAUACGGUUGCAAAACAAGAAUUUAUUUUUAUUAAUUAUUCAAAGCCUGAUAAUUAGUUAAAACGGCAUCGGAUUAGCCCUCGAACGGUCGAACUAUAUGAGCAGAACGAUUGGUGUUUUUAAUCAAAUUCUAAAAUAGAUGUUCUUGCAAUAAUAUUUCACGAAAUUUGGCAAAGGGACACUCUUCUAACCCUAAUUUACUUAUUAGCGUUCUCUAUCUCUCGAGCUCUCAAACUCCCUCACCAUCUCUCAAAUUCCUCUCAUUCUCCUCUUACUACGGUGAGCUCUCUCUUUUCUUCAUCAUCCAUGGUUUGUCUAAUUGUGUGGAUCUCGAAGUUCAACGGAAUUUAGUAGACACAUUGAUAUAUAAGCCCCGCUCAGGCGCUACUUCCUCCUCCCUCUCUCUCUCUCUCUCUCUUUCAUCACUUUCUAUCUAAUCUCUCUUCUUUUACAGCGGCCAUUGGAGCUCUCCAAGUUCCGUCUCAAGCCUCACUUGUGGUGAUUUUGAUUUUUUAAUCUCUCUCGCUUUCUCUUUCUGGUUUUGUGGAUUUUAACGUCUGUAAAUUUCAAUGUCUUUGAACCGAUUUGGAUUUCGUGAAACUUUCUUUUUGUCGUCUUUGCUUGAGGAAGUAAUUUAUGAUUUUAGGGUUUUUAAUUUGUUGUCGACGAGUUGUUAGGAGAUGCAAAUGGUACUGGGGAUUUUGUGGAUUUCUGAUUGUGUGCUGGUGAAUUUUGGUUCAGGUUAGGUUUUCUCUUAUUAGAGUUUGAGGUCAUAGUUAGGUUUUUUGGGGCUUUGAUUGAGUUUUUGGUUCUUCAUCACUGUUUAAAUGCUGUUGUAGAUUUUGAGGGCUUCAUUUAAAUCUGGAUCUGACCUGUUGUUAAGAUGUUUAAUUGCAUUAGGUUGAUAGAUUCUCAAGAUCUUUCUUUUAUGAUCCAUUGAUCCUUGUGUAUCUGUUUGGUAUUCAGUGGAUUGCGCAUGCCAAUUUGUAUUCAGCGGAUUGCCGCAUAAAUUGUUUGUGUUUAUUGUGUGGCUUUGGUAUCGUAAUUUCAUAGUCCAAAGAUUGGUUCUCUAUCUUUUAAAAAAAAAAUAUGAAGUGUUACAGAAGGAAUGUCGAACCAAUGCCACCGUGUCAGAUCGAAUCUCUUGAGCUAAUGAUUUGCAUUUAUGGUUUUACCCUGUUAAAACAGAUCUGCAUCUAUAUCAAAUCAUGGGACCUUGUAGCUAGUUAAACCUUUAUGUGGAAACAAAUCUAUCAUUUUCUAGGAACAUUUGUCUACUCCUUUAAAAUCUUCUGAUUUUACUGAAUCUGUUCCCUAUUAGGGUCACUUAAACAUGAUAUGCUUCUAAACAUUAAACUGUAUCUAAUCGCUUGUUUUGGUCCUUUAAUUUUUCAUUGAGACAGGUGCGAAACAUCCUGAGGAGUCUGUUGCAGAUCCUUUAUUUUAAAGGCUUCUUACAGGAUUGUAGUUUGGGACGGAGUAACUCUCGAGGACAUGGAAUGCAACAAGGACGAAGCGAAAAGGGCAAUGGAUAUUGCUGAGAGGAAGAUUACAGAAAAAGACUACAAUGGGGCAAAAAAGUUCGCUAACAAGGCUCAAAAUUUGUUUCCUGAGCUGGAUGGUUUGAAACAAUUAUUGAUGGCUAUCGAUGUUUAUAUCUCGGGAGAGAAAAAAAUCUGCGGAGAAGCUGAUUGGUAUGGUAUCCUUGGUGUAGAUCCCUUUGCUAAUGAUGAAGCAGUCAAAAAACAAUAUCGGAAAUUAGUUCUUUUGCUCCAUCCGGAUAAAAACAAGUGUAAUGGCGCUGAAGGUGCGUUUCAGCUGGUUGCAGAAGCUUGGACUCUACUGUCUGACAAGGAUAAACGAUUUGAAUAUAACAUAAAGAGGGGCAAAGAAGCUCAAAGAUUUCCAACCACACAGAGCGUGAUUCCUCCAUUCCAGCCAACUUCUAACGGGACUCAAAAUGUAAGGGAGCAUGUACUUCCAAAUGCCAAAGCUAGAUCUAAGCCCGCUGCCCGUAUGGAUAGAUCCCGUGUGGGUUCGCCUGCUUUUGUUCCUUCGAUGCCAGAGCAGAGUAGUACCUUUUGGACAAAGUGCGGCAACUGCAACACACAAUACGAGUAUCUAAGGGUUUAUCUUAACCAGACCUUGCUUUGUCCAAACUGUAGUCAUGGUUUCGUUGCUCAAGAGAUAACUCCACCUUUAAUUGUUCCAAAGCCGCCAGUCAACCUUUCAUCUAACCAACAGUACAGGAGUUCCAAAAAUCAAGCGUCAAACAAAAAGCAAUAUGGUCCUUCUAGGAGAGAGCCUGCAUCAUCUGUUAACCAUAAUUUUCAGUGGGAUUCUUCAUCAAGAAUGGCUGGUUUCAACAGCCGAAGUGAAGCUGCGAGUCUAGUUCAACAAGCACAAGUGAAAAGAGAGCUUGGGGAGUCACAAGAAAGGGAUGCUGCUAGAGGAUUCACAAACUCUGAUUUGAGGAAUUUCAAGAGGCCGAAGACAGACAAUUUCCACAUGCGUGGUCAAUUUGCAGGCAAUCAAACAGGUGGAAGGAAUGUUGCCAAUGGAAAUACUGAAACGCCCAACAUCUUAGGCUCUCGUCUUCCUCAUGUACAAGGAAUGUUGUUACCUUGUGAUAUAACCAAAGCUCUUAUAGAAAGAGGCCAGGCAGAAAUUUUUAAGAGACUUCGAAAGAUGAUCUCUGUAACGGAAGCAAAGGUUAGGGCAACUGAUGGGGAGAAGAAAAGUAUUAAGGCAACGAGCAAGUUGAGUGGCAGGGCAAAUGAUGUUGAAAGGUCAGUUGAGGAAAUUUCCCAUGUUUCAGAUGAAGAGAAGGAUGAUGAAGUGAAGACAAUCAUUGUUCCAGAUUCAGACUUUCACAACUUUGAUCUUGACCGAUCUGAAAGUUCUUUCAAAGAUGACCAAAUUUGGGCUGCCUAUGACGAUGACGACGGAAUGCCUCGGUUUUAUGCCCGCAUACAAAAGGUGAUUUCUUUGAAACCGUUUAAGAUGAAAAUCAGCUGGCUCAAUUCCAGAAGCACCAGUGAAUUUGGUCCUAUAGACUGGAUAGGCGCUGGUUUUGCUAAAACAUGUGGGGAUUUUAGGUCAGGGAGAUAUGAAUCUACAGAUACUCUAAACGCCUUUUCUCACAAAGUUGAUUUCACCAAAGGUGCACGAGGACUCCUGCAUAUUCUUCCCAAAAAGGGACAAGUUUGGGCAUUGUAUCGAAAUUGGUCUCCUGAGUGGGACAAGAAUACCCCUGAUGAAAUUAAACACAAGUAUGAGAUGGUGGAAGUUCUUGAUGACUAUACUGAAGACAAACAAAGUCUCACUGUGACUCUCUUACUCAAAGCUGAAGGAUUAAGGGUAGUUUUCCGCAGAAGCACAGAUGGAAACGAUGUGAGGGAGAUUCCAAAGGAAGAAAUGUUUAGAUUCUCCCACCAGGUGCCUCAUUACAUUCUUACAGGGAAAGAAGCAGAUAAUGCACCAGAAGGUUUUCUGGAACUAGACCCAGCUGCAACUCCUUGUGAAUUGUUUUCUGAGAAAGGAGAAGGGAAUGAGAAAAGUGAAGGUAUUUUGGCUUACCUUGCUUUGCUUUUUUAGUUUGUUUUCUUAAAGGUACAGGACUGAUAAUCAAUUCUCUUUCUGACGAUGCACUUUAUUGACUCCAUCAGAAUGGGAAGACAACGUUGCGAGGAAGAGCUGAAAAGACGAUCUUCUAAGAAGGGACAAGAUGUAGGGCAGUCCCUUUAAGCAGGGUGUGUCUUCAUUCUAAUCAAUUUGGUUCCGUGUAGUGGAAAAUGCUUUAAUCGUUAUUUUACAUGAAAGUAUUUAAUGUAGAAAUUUUCCUGCAUGUUUAUCAGGCCAGAUGGACCAACAGCUGGUGGUAGCUUAAAAUCAAUGAAAGACAAACUUAGUUCACACGAUAAAGAUAGACCUGCUGCACCUGAGGGGGAGAUAACAGCAGGUUGUUAUCAUAGUAUACAUCUACCCAAUUGCUGUUUAAAAUUUUCAUUUUGCAUUUUGCUCCCGAUCUACUGUCCUUACGUUGCAUGAUUUUAUUUCUGCAAGCCUUUUCUCUUAUCUCAAGUGCAUGAUUUCUUCAUGUCUUUUUCUGCUUCAUGA
rnacentral:lncRNA from 1 species